rnacentral:rRNA from 1 species
UACGGAGGAUGCAAGCGUUAUCCGGAUUUAUUGGGUUUAAAGGGUGCGUAGGCGGGAAAAUAAGUCAGUGGUGAAAUCCUACAGCUUAACUGUAGAAUUGCCGUUGAUACUGUUUUCUUGAGUAUGGUCAAGGAAGGCGGAAUGUGUAAUGUAGCGGUGAAAUGCUUAGAUAUUACACAGAACACCAAUUGCGAAGGCAGCUUUCUGGCCCAUUACUGACGCUGAGGCACGAAAGCGUGGGGAGUCAAACAGGAUUAGAUACCCUGGUA